GAGGCAACGUAAUGCCUCCCGGUGUUUGCUUUUAGAUAGCAUGCAUUCUGAAUCCAGAGGUGUGACGUUUACCAUGGCAUCUACCUUGAUCUUUAAUGCCGCGUAGGAGACUACUCGGAACUCCCAAUAUUUCCAACUCAGAAAAUUUCACUGGAAUGCCACUUGGAAUCCCAAGCUCUGACUCAAACUCUGAGGGGAAAAAGUAAUAAUCUAUAAAUUAAAGGAGUCAUCUCAUACCCCCUUUUCCCAGAAGUUGACACGGUCCCUUGGGGGUCUUAAUGAAAUGCCUGUACCCUGAUUGGUCAAAAUACCACAAGGAUCAAGCACCACAGCACCCUUCUCACCCUGUCUAAAACAGCCCUUUUCUGAGAGUCUGGUUUGAGUGCCUGUGCCUUUAAAUGAUAAUGAGCCACUGCUCUUCCACGGGUAAUGACGACACGAGUAGGCUCUCCAUGGCAAUGCCAAGUUGGUUGAUGUCUUUGGAAUUCAUUGAUGUCUCAAAUACUGAGGUAUUUCCGAUUUUUACUAAGAGAAAACUUGAAAUGGACUCAAGUGGCUUUGUUUCUGAAAAAGCAGUGUACACCUUUAUUCCAUUUGUGUCUUGACCUAAUGAUUGUAUACAUGCCUUAUUUUAUAAUAAUACAUUUUUAAUAAAAAAAAAAAAUCACAUUCUUGCCAGCUGCUUCCAAUACAAGUCUAGCAUAAUAAUACAAAUACUUCCUGACACUGACUGUAGCUGGGACGUUGCCAUACAAAAAUAAACCUAAUAAAUCCACUCCGCUCUUCUGUCCCCUGAGGCUGGGGGUCUCUUGAUACCCAAAUGUAGUACGGAAGCACUGAAAAAGUUUCAGUUGAAGGUUGAGUUUUCCAUAAUAUGUCACCUUUAAUCAAUUUGACAUUAUCAAUAUGGUGGCAACAUAACAGAAACCUUGACUAUAUCAAAGGUUAAAAACCUUUUUAAAUAUGCGUGAACAUGCAUAGGGUCUCUACAAACAAGAAAAAAGUUGCAUAACAUUCGCUUCGGAAAUAAACUUGUCUACCUGUUGCUUUCAAAAACAAUGAUGGGGUAACCUGGUGUGAACAGGCUCUUGCAAGCUGUGCACAUUUCUAGCGACUCAAGCAUAUUUGGUCUGCAUCAUGUACAACAUCAUAGUAGUCUUGCUCCUUUUGGGUUAGCUGCUAGGCUCUGUCACAUUCCUGUUCCGCCAGGCCGACGGCCCCUUUUACACAGACGUCGAUCCGGCUCUGUGACUACCGCCGCUGUGUGUGUGUGUGUGUGUGUGUGUCGAUCCAACUCUGUGACUACCUCCGCUGUGUGUGUGUGUGUGUGUGUGUGUGGAUCCAGCUCUGUGACUACCGUGUGUGUGUGUGUGUGUGUGUGUGUGUGUGUGUGGAUACGGCUCUGUGACUACCGCCGCUGUGUGUGUGUCGAUCCAACUCUGUGACUACCUCCGCUGUGUGUGUGUGUGUGUGUGUGUGUGUGUGUGUGUGUGUGUGUGUGUGUGUGUGUGUGUGUGUGUGUGUGUGUGUGUGUGUGUGUGUGUGUGUGUGUGUCGAUACGGCUCUGUGACUACCUCCGCUGCUGGCUCAGAGGCGGAACAACAAUGACCCCCCCAUUCCGUCUUCAUACCUUUUUCUACAGAAUUGUGAGGUGGAAUGAAGGCAAAAUACUCCUGCAGUGAACACACUGUAUAAAAAGCCUUUUUUUAUUUCCCUCUCAUUCUCCUGCAAUUUCUUGUUCUGUCGGUCUCACCUCUUUCUCUCUCCUGCCCAGUUUAUCUGGCUGACUAAACAGUUUUGUCAGCUGGCAGUUGUUCAUAGGCUGAGGAUUUGUAAUACCUUCUGGAGUUUAGCAGGAUAAGGGGGAGGGGUGCUACUCACAGGCAGCACUUGUUGCUUAGUGGAGCUGUGCAGUAACAUGAGGUACACCCCAUCGACACUCACACUGUUUCUGAUAGGAGCUGUGCAGUAACAUGAGGUAUACCCCCUCGACACUCACACUGUUUCUGAUAGGAGCUGUGCAGUAACAUGAGGUAUACCCCCUCGACACUCACACUGACAGCCCUUUUAGUUAGCGGUGCUAUUUUACUGUCAUGGUGUUGUGUGGGAAUGAGAGCAAAGCGGUGGAGUUGAACCAUUCCCAUGGCCACUUUAGUAACAUCUUCUGCCACAACUCCAGUGAAUGUGAAAUACAAGAUGGCCAUGUUGAAGUAU
ensembl:lncRNA